UACAGGGGGUGCAAACGUUGCUCGGAAUUAUUGGGCGUAAAGCGCGCGUAGGCGGCUACUUAAGUCGGAUGUGAAAGCCCCUGGCUCAACUGGGGAAGUGCACCCGAAAACUGAGUGGCUUUGAGUGCGAAAAGAGGGGUCGCGGAAUUCCCGGUGUAGAGGUGAAAUUCGUAGAUAUCGGGAGGAACACCGGUGGCGAAGGCGGCGACCUGGGUCGACACUGACGCUGAGGCGCGAAAGCGUGGGGAGCAAACAGG
rnacentral:rRNA from 1 species